GCAGCUGUAACUAACUUCUCUUCUUCAAAUCAACAAGGGACGUUAAGCGAUCCCUGCAUCAUAUGAUUGUCAAUUUAUACAAAUGAGAGACAUUAUGGACUUCAUCUCAGUCUCAUUACUGAUCCUACUGCUACACACUCCAGUUUCAGGCUCUUUCAAAUUUCUUUCCUGGCAUGAGACUUGUCAGGAAUACAGUAUUUGUGCUUUAAAGCAGACCAAAGUGACACUGAGGUGCUCUUACUUAAAAAAUAACAUCAAAACUGGGUUCUGGUUUAGCAAGAAACAGAGAACAAACUGGAGAAACAAAGAUGAACCUGAAGAUUUGACUUUAGAUUCAGAUUACUCAGGACGAGUGAAUCAAGAGAUCACUAAAAACAACUCACGACUCACAAUAAGAGAUCCGAGAAAGAGAGACAGUGGAGAAUAUCAGCUCAUGAUCAUUAUGAAGGAUGGAGUUAAACAUCUCAGCUCAGUCACAGUCAAUCUAACAGUCACAGGUACAUUUACAUUCUCAUCAGUCCAGUUAAACUCUUUUCAUUUCUCAUCUAAUGUAAGGUUUUGAUUAUUUAGGUUUACAGGUGAAGAUGAAUCCUGAAUCUACAGGACAGCGAGUAAA